AGUAUGAGAGGAAGAGGAGAUGAUGCAGCCAGAGCAGAGUGAGCAAAGCCGAGAGGAGAGGAGGGGACUGUCUCCUGAGUCUGCUGCCUGCUGCGUGGAGGCCGUGGGUUUUACUGAGACUCUGCACUCUUGUCCUCACAGAUGAGCAGGCAUGCUUCCGUACCUGCCGCCAGUGGCCCCUGGCUGAGCGCCCUCCUGUGCACCGUGUCCUCUCAGCUCCCAAAUACUCUCAUUAUUCCCACUAGUAGAUGAGAAAACUGAGGAAUGAGAUGGGAUUCAUCUGGAAAAAGGGCUCCCACGGGGCUGCCAUCGGGACAGCAGCCGCAGUCUUUGUCUUAUCUGAAGGCAUCCCGGGCUGGAGAGCCCACUUCUGCAAUGGCAUCCCACACCGCGGUUGGCCGAAGGCCUCAGUUUCUCCUCCACUGGUUCUCCGGAAGCCUACUUAAGUGUUCUCAUGACGUGGCUCUUUCUACAGUGACUGAUCAGAGAGCGACCAAAGCCGAAACUAUGGGGAUCUUUAUCACUAAGGUCUCUGAUGUCAGCAAGUCAACUGACAUCAGCCCACGCUCAGGGGAGGCAAAUUAGGACCCACUGCUGGAAGGAAGAGCAUCAGAGAAUUUGUGGACAGAUUUUUAAAACUGUGGCAACAGAUAAAGGGAUGGUGUACCCACUGUUCUUCCGUGAUGGUGGGAUCUUAGCAUGAUCUCAGCCCCACAGCCCGCUUGUGAAAUUCACCUGGGACGCUUCUAGAUGCUCUCUGAGCCAGGGCGCCAACCCCAGGCCCUCUGAAGGACUUGCUCAGAGCAGAGACUGGACCUUUGUGGGUUUGUUUUGUGGAAAGAUCUUAAACUGUAGCCGUAACAUUUCUGUUUCCACCGCAUUUUGUUACUGUAAAACGUGCACAUUGUAAAACAGACCGUUUUAGCCGCUUUCGAAGGUGUGGCUCGGUGACAAAGGGUUUAUUCAGGUGGUGGACCCCUCCCCUCCAGAAAUGUUCAUUUUCUGAAACCAAAGCCCUACCUGUUCAACCCCCACUCCCCACUCCUCCCUGCCCAGCCCACAGCGAGGCCAUGUUCCGUCUCUCCGAGUUCCCCCCGCUCUAGACCCAGCGGAGUGGAACCCCGGGGCCUCGGGCUUGAUUGACUUAGUUAGCACAGUGACGUCGUUGUAGGCACGUCAGAGCUUCAUUGCUGUUGCAGCUGAAUAACCUUCCAUUGUCCGAGUGGACCCCGUUUUGUUUAUGCAUUGUCUGUCGGUGGGCGAUGAGACCGUAUCCACGCUGGUCUCGUCAAGGCUCCCAGGUGAUUCUGAUGAGCUACCAGGGAUGAAAAACAAGGCCUCAGACGAGUGCCUCGCAGUCCUGGCUGCACGUGCCAAUCACCUGGUAGUGGUUCAAAAAAUACCAACGCCCGGUGAGCCUGGCCGACCCCCUGGAUCAGGAUCUCUGGCAGGGGGACUGGGGAGUCUGUAAGAAUAACCCAAUUCCUUCCCCUAGAACGCCAGGGGGUGCGGACUCAUUGCCAAGCCUCUGCUGCCCCCUGGUGGCAGCACCUGGGAUCCUCCCUCCACCCCGGGACUCGCCUACCUGCUCACAAGGAGUCCAGGAGGGCCAGGCCCCCACCCAUGCCAUUCCCUGGGGGUCUGGGGAUCCUGUGAGGCUCUACCCGGCCCCACUCCCCCACUAUCUCCUGGGUUCCCUGUCUAGAAGAACAGAGGAGUCUAUUAGAGAGGAGAAGGCACAGACAGGUGGAGGACUCCACUUUGCUGCUUGCCGGCUGCAUGACCUUGAACAAGCCAUUUCAUCCAUGCUGGGGGGACGACCACAAGUCCCUGAGAUCAGAGUUACGGAAACCCUACAAAACCACCUCAGUGGAGAGCCACUGCCCCUCGAGUGUGUGAUGCCUACA